AACGAACGCUGGCGGCAGGCCUAACACAUGCAAGUCGAGCGCGUAGCAAUACGAGCGGCGCACGGGAUAGUAACGCGUGGAAACCUACCUUUCGGUUCGGAAUAACAUCGGGAAACUGGUGCUAAUACCGGAUACGCCCUUCGGGGGAAAGAUUUAUUGCCGAUAGAUGGGCCCGCGUUGGAUUAGCUAGUUGGUGAGGUAACGGCUCACCAAGGCAACGAUCCAUAGCUGGUCUGAGAGGAUGAUCAGCAUCACUGGGACUGAGACACGGCCCAGACUCCUACGGGAGGCAGCAGUGGGGAAUAUUGGACAAUGGGGGGCAACCCUGAUCCAGCCAUGCCGCGUGAAUGAUGAAGGCCUUCGGGUUGUAAAGUUCUUUUGGUGGGGACGAUGAUGACGGUACCCACAGAAUAAGCUCCGGCUAACUUCGUGCCAGCAGCCGCGGUAA
rnacentral:rRNA from 1 species